rnacentral:rRNA from 1 species
GACGAACGCUGGCGGCGUGCUUAACACAUGCAAGUCGAACGGAAAGGCCUCUUUCGGGGGGUACUCGAGUGGCGAACGGGUGAGUAACACGUGAGUAACCUGCCCUUGACUUUGGGAUAACUUCAGGAAACUGGGGCUAAUACCGGAUAGGAGCUCCUGCUGCAUGGUGGGGGUUGGAAGGUUUCGGCGGUUGGGGAUGGACUCGCGGCUUAUCAGCUUGUUGGUGGGGUAGUGGCUUACCAAGGCUUUGACGGGUAGCCGGCCUGAGAGGGUGACCGGCCACAUUGGGACUGAGAUACGGCCCAGACUCCUACGGGAGGCAGCAGUGGGGAAUAUUGCACAAUGGGUGGAAGCCUGAUGCAGCAACGCCGUGUGCGGGAUGACGGCCUUCGGGCUGUAAACCGCUUUCGCUCAUGACGAAGCUUUGUGUGACGGUAGUGGGUAAAGAAGCACCGGCUAACUACGUG